rnacentral:rRNA from 1 species
CCUACGGGGGGCUGCAGUGGGGAAUAUUGCACAAUGGGCGCAAGCCUGAUGCAGCCAUGCCGCGUGUGUGAAGAAGGCCUUCGGGUUGUAAAGCACUUUCAGCGGGGAGGAAGGCGGUGAGGUUAAUAACCUCAUCGAUUGACGUUACCCGCAGAAGGAGCACCGGCUAACUCCGUGCCAGCAGCCGCGGUAAUACGGAGGGUGCAAGCGUUAAUCGGAAUUACUGGGCGUAAAGCGCACGCAGGCGGUCUGUCAAGUCGGAUGUGAAAUCCCCGGGCUCAACCUGGGAACUGCAUUCGAAACUGGCAGGCUAGAGUCUUGUAGAGGGGGGUAGAAUUCCAGGUGUAGCGGUGAAAUGCGUAGAGAUCUGGAGGAAUACCGGUGGCGAAGGCGGCCCCCUGGACAAAGACUGACGCUCAGGUGCGAAAGCGUGGGGAGCAAACAGGAUUAGAUACCCGUGUAGUC